UGCAUUCGAGAUGGUAACUUGGCCCGGA
rnacentral:sRNA from 1 species